rnacentral:rRNA from 1 species
UACAGAGGGGGCAAGCGUUGUCCGGAUUUACUGGGCGUAAAGAGCGUGUAGGCGGCCAAGCAGGUCCGUUGUGAAAACUGGAGGCUUAACCUCCAGACGUCGACGGAAACCGCGUGGCUAGAGUCCGGAAGAGGAGAGUGGAAUUCCUGGUGUAGCGGUGAAAUGCGCAGAUAUCAAGAAGAACACCAAUGGCGAAGGCAGCUCUCUGGGACGGUACUGACGCUGAGACGCGAAAGCGUGGGGAGCGAACAGG